GGUCUAGUGGCGCACGGGUGCGUAACGCGUGGGAAUCUGCCCUUCGGUUGGGAAUAACACAGAGAAAUUUGUGCUAAUACCUUAUAAUGUCUUCGGACCAAAGAUUUAUCGCCGAGGGAUGAGCCCGCGUAGGAUUAGCUAGUUGGUGGGGUAAUGGCCUACCAAGGCGACGAUCCUUAGCUGGUCUGAGAGGAUGAUCAGCCACACUGGGACUGAGACACGGCCCAGACUCCUACGGGAGGCAGCAGUGGGGAAUAUUGGACAAUGGGCGAAAGCCUGAUCCAGCAAUGCCCGCGUGAGUGAUGAAGGCCUUAGGGUUGUA
rnacentral:rRNA from 1 species